UCCCUGAUGACUCAGUGGUAAAGAAUCUGCCUGCAAUGCAGGAGACCCAGGUUCAAUCCCUGGGCUGGGAA
rnacentral:tRNA from 1 species